rnacentral:lncRNA from 1 species
AAUAGUCAAAAAGUUCUUUUAUAUUUUCUCACGGUUUUUAGUAUUUCUGUUAUCCACCAUUUGAAUAUUACAUGAGAAGUGGGAAAUUCGGAGCUACUUUGACCCUUGAAUUUUUUUAUGUUUAUUCAGUAGCAUGCGAAUAAUUUUUUCUCGUAAAUCAUCUGUCAACACCUCCUCGUAUUUUCCUAUCAUAUUUUCAAUUUUUACUUAACUUUCAGUAUAGUCAUUAGGGAUUGCUGGAUUCGGUCCACUUUCCUCUUUUUCACUCAUAUCUUUCAUCCAUCGCUUAUAAUCACCCAUUACUUUAAUUACUGAACUUGCAACUGAUAGCUCCACUGAUUAUAGCCAGCCAAUAGCGUGUAGUCUUGUUGUCUCACCACCUGUGACGUCAGCAAGCCUAUAAAAGCUUGUGCUGCCUAUUUCUCGAGGUCUUUUACCAUCUUCGACCCGUACUAGUACGUAGUGCCCUUUUUCGCCCUUUUGGCACAAUAAGUGACUAUUCUCAAAUCUUGUAAUUUCUGUAAUUCUCUCUCUUUCGACCAGUACAUUCAAAAUUUCAUCUCCAAAAAUUUCGUUAUUUAAUUUUUCCGCGUAGUUUGUUGUUCCUACACAAAGAGCAACUGGUGCCGAAAUUAUUUUCCAACUCUUAAUAUUUGACAUCAUCACACUAAAAGCAUGUGCUUGCGUGUGCACCUGUGCACCGGUCACAUACCAAUAUGCCGGCCAUGCGAAGUAUUGAAGCGGCCUAGGGAUGGCAGGAAUGACACUUGUGGCGAUGAAGUAAAGGGUGCCUAUGAGGAUGAAGUCCUUAAUGACGUAGGAGAAAGAUCGUAGAAGAGAACGCUGGAAACAGUGAGGAGGGAUGGCCUUUUUCAGGUCGCCGAAUGUGAAGGGAGGCUUCGAGGUAGGUGCGCGCUUCCUGAGGGAUCGCGACCGCACCUCAAUGUCGUUCAGUAGAUCCACACCCAUCACCUGCAACAACGAAAAAACAAUCAAAAUCAAAUUUAAUAUGUAAGAUAAAUAUUAAUGUUAUUUAAAUUAUUUUCCAAGGAGACGUUCAAGCGCGCUUGAAUCUCAUACUAAACAUUUGUAAAACCCCAUGGCAUUUUCCAAUGGCACCUUUGUGCUACUAGAAAGGAAAAUGUAAAAAAAAAUAUCGGCCUUAAAUGAAGGACCUGUUGACUUUCCUUUGAUAACAAUGCUCUUUAUUUCACACGCCCUUGGAAAUACACCAAAAAGCACAUUGAAGAUGAAUAUAUAGAAUUAUAAAGAAAGAAACAGACGAAAAAAGUGUUAAAUUCCAGAGUUUUUUUUUCAAUCUCUCAUAUUGACGUUUAUUGCAUAAAAACGGAAUCAAAAUCAACUAGGUCAUUACUUACCUGAAAUUAUUUUUGAGUUUUGAAAAAUCUUGGUAAAUAAUUUUAGUGCCACAUCAUCUUAGAAAACAAAUGAUUGCAUCUAGGAUGAAGAUUAAUUUGAUUAAAAACCGAGCCAAAAUCUGUUGACUCAAGUAGACGGAAAAAGCCCGAAUUAUAAUUUUAGUCAGAUUAGAGUAAUAAAAUUGAAAAAUUCCCAAGUUUUUUAUCAAUUAUUUGAAAAAGUAGUGAUGAGGUACUUUCAGGAGGAUCUAAUUAGUAAGAAAUUGCAAUAGCUGAACUGGCGAACAUGUUUGUCAAACUUCAAAUGGUAUAGAAAAGUACCCAUGAGAGCAUAUUAUUUUUUCAGAUUUAUUAUAUUAAAACUCUGAAACUAUCAGCGCCCUCGAGCAUUUUUGAUUUUUUUCUUCUCUUUUAUUCUUUGCACAAUUAUUCGGAAUGAAUGAUAAAUUACAAAUACUUCUCUCGGAGCCUAGCUCUGCAGAUUGAUGAAGGAGAGAGGAAGAAAGAAAACACUUCUAACACCUCAGAAGCUUUAAAAAAGAAGAAUAAUACUGACUUUAUUUAGCUUGUUUGUAAAAUCAUAGACAAAUUGUAUGGAUUUGAUGUAUUUUCCAGCUCAAAUUCAUUAUUAAAUGUUUCAUUCAAUGGCAAUACUUAUGGAGAAAAAUAAAAUGGGAAAAUGAGAUAUUGGAGACGGAGAGCUACUCGCGUGUUAGACUUUCUGCCGGUCGACAAUAUGAAGGCGUUCUAAUGCGCUCAUUUGCAAUAUAGGCGGAGGUGAGACGUGUAAGGAUUGCUGAAUACCGUUUGCUUACGAGAGCGGAAUAAAAAGUAAACAAACACCUCCACCACUUACUUAUGGAACAAUAUAAAUAUUUUUUAACUGACAUACUAUAAAUGUAUCUACUUACUCAGCAAUAGGUUGUAAACAGAUGAAAUUUUAAGCGAGAGGCCACAGCAAUUUAGUCUUUGAUAAAAAUUAGUUCCUCAUGCACUGUCCCUGGUGAUCAUUACUCUCAAUCUGAAACACAAUAAAUCCCAGCAAAUUAAUAACGCAAAUAAAUCAAAAUGAAAAAAAAAACGAACUUCAGAAUUUAGCUUACUCUUAAAAUAUUAUUCGCAUCAUUUUAUGAAAAUACAAUAAUGGGAAAAAGGUUCUUCUUCCACACAAAUACGAAAGUUUCUACAAGUUUUUACUCGCCUUUGUCAUCCUCAAAGAGGUUGAUCGGGUCCUGACUUCUCUCUGACUCUCUCGUAACUACAAAACCCCAUUAAAUGUCUAUUGUAUUUUUAAAAGUCUUUAUUUAUGGCUGAUUAUGUAUUGCUUUCAUUAUAUUUCUUUAAAAAAAAUCCACCCUACGUAAUAGGCAAACUUUCUGAGCUGAACACUCUCCCCCCUCAGUUUUGUGCUGGUACUCAUUAGAGUUAAAAAAAUUUAUUUUUGACUCUAAUUAUAAGUUUUGGAACUUCUUGGCUUUGUUUUCCCCACGAAAUGGUGAGGACCUAGCACCAUUUCCCCACCUUGUUACUUAAAAGGCAUUGAUAUCAUUAAAACCAAGCAGUAUAAUUCAUCGAUAGCCCGAAGUUGGAUAAUUCAUACCUCCAUGCAUAGGAACGUGCCAGAAUCUCCGAUUAUGCAUCAUUCUUUAAAGAAAAAGUAACCAGAAUAUACCCAUAAAAUAUUCUAGCUACCUAUAUUUUCGAAAUAAUUAAAGAGAAAGAAAAUAGAUUGGUCCAAGAAAAUUGUUGAUUGGUUUUUAAACAAUAAAAAAUAAAUACAAAACAAGCAUAAGCGAGAUUUGCAACGUUCCAAUCAUUAGAGAUGCAGAUUUUUAUUAGAAAAGUAUGAAUAAACUUGUUAGUUUUUUUCCAGUUUCUUAAGCUUUCUUUCAGAUUUUUUCAGAUUUUUCAUCUUCACCUUUUUGCUCCUAUUUUUCCUCAUUCCAUAAUAUGUUUUAAGAAGUAAUUAAAAAAUGAUGAUUCUUUAAACAUCGCAAUGAAGAUAAAGGCCACAGAAAUACUGAUCGGAAUCCAAACGAAGAAUGCACUCGAAAAAGAAACGG